UCUUAGUUUCGUCGUUUUGAAUCCAACGAGACCAUCCGAAAGGUCGUAGCUCUUCUAAUAGCUGAGAUAUGGCAUUUUUGAUGCCCAUUUUUGGCCUCAAAAAUGGACGUCGAAAACGACUUUUUCAGGAUUUUCAAAGUGCUCUCAUUCCCUUAGUUCUGCUCGGAUCCCGUUAUAACCCGGUGUUUUCGUAAUCUAGGUGACCCAAAUAAGACGCUGGUACACUUAGUUUGAUUUCGAAAAAAAUCAAUUUUUGGUGAAAAAAUUCGAUACGGGGGGGUAUACCCGAAAAAUGAAAAAUUCCAAACUUUGAAGGUCCAUAUCUCGGCUUCUAUGGGAGCUAUCGGGAAAAUUCCAAUGGUUUUGUCUUAGUUUCGUCGUUUUGAAUCCAACGAGACCAUCCGCAAGGUCGUAGCUCUUCUAAUAGCUGAGAUAUGGCAUUUUUGAUGCCCAUUUUUGGCCUCAAAAACGGACGUCGAAAACGACUUUUUCAGGAUUUUCAAAGUGCUCUCAUUCCCUUAGUUCUGCUCGGAUCCCGUUAUAACCCGGUGUUUUCGUAAUCUAGGUGACCCAAAUAAGACGCUGGUACACUUAGUUUGAUUUCGAAAAAAAUCAAUUUUUGGUGAAAAAAUUCGAUACGGGGGGGUAUACCCGAAAAAUGAAAAAACCCAAACUUUGAAGGUCGAUAUCUCGGCUUCUAUGGGAGAUAUCUGGAAAAUUCCAACGGCUUUGUCUUAGUUUCGUCGUUUUGAAUCCAACGAGACCAUCCGCAAGGUCGUAGCUCUUCUAAUAGCUGAGAUAUGGCAUUUUUGAUGCCCAUUUUUGGCCUCAAAAAUGGACGUCGAAAACGACUUUUUCAGGAUUUUCAAAGUGCUCUCAUUCCCUUAGUUCUGCUCGGAUCCCGUUAUAACCCGGUGUUUUCGUAAUCUAGGUGACCCAAAUAAGACGCUGGUACACUUAGUUUGAUUUCGAAAAAAAUCAAUUUUUGGUGAAAAAAUUCGAUACGGGGGGGUAUACCCGAAAAAUGAAAAAACCCAAACUUUGAAGGUCGAUAUCUCGACUUCUAUGGGAGCUAUCGGGAAAAUUCCAACGGUUUUGUCUUAGUUUCGUCGUUUUGAAUCCAACGAGACCAUCCGCAAGGUCGUAGCUCUUCUAAUAGCUGAGAUAUGGCAUUUUUGAUGCCCAUUUUUGGCCUCAAAAACGGACGUCGAAAACGACUUUUUCAGGAUUUUCAAAGUGCUCUCAUUCCCUUAGUUCUGCUCGGAUCCCGUUAUAACCCGGUGUUUUCGUAAUCUAGGUGACCCAAAUAAGACGCUGGUACACUUAGUUUGAUUUCGAAAAAAAUCAAUUUUUGGUGAAAAAAUUCGAUACGGGGGGGUAUACCCGAAAAAUGAAAAAACCCAAACUUUGAAGGUCGAUAUCUCGACUUCUAUGGGAGCUAUCGGGAAAAUUCCAACGGUUUUGUCUUAGUUUCGUCGUUUUGAAUCCAACGAGACCAUCCGCAAGGUCGUAGCUCUUCUAAUAGCUGAGAUAUGGCAUUUUUGAUGCCCAUUUUUGGCCUCAAAAACGGACGUCGAAAACGACUUUUUCAGGAUUUUCAAAGUGCUCUCAUUCCCUUAGUUCUGCUCGGAUCCCGUUAUAACCCGGUGUUUUCGUAAUCUAGGUGACCCAAAUAAGACGCUGGUACACUUAGUUUGAUUUCGAAAAAAAUCAAUUUUUGGUGAAAAAAUUCGAUACGGGGGGGUAUACCCGAAAAAUGAAAAAACCCAAACUUUGAAGGUCGAUAUCUCGGCUUCUAUGGGAGAUAUCUGGAAAAUUCCAACGGCUUUGUCUUAGUUUCGUCGUUUUGAAUCCAACGAGACCAUCCGCAAGGUCGUAGCUCUUCUAAUAGCUGAGAUAUGGCAUUUUUGAUGCCCAUUUUUGGCCUCAAAAACGGACGUCGAAAACGACUUUUUCAGGAUUUUCAAAGUGCUCUCAUUCCCUUAGUUCUGCUCGGAUCCCGUUAUAACCCGGUGUUUUCGUAAUCUAGGUGACCCAAAUAAGACGCUGGUACACUUAGUUUGAUUUCGAAAAAAAUCAAUUUUUGGUGAAAAAAUUCGAUACGGGGGGGUAUACCCGAAAAAUGAAAAAACCCAAACUUUGAAGGUCGAUAUCUCGACUUCUAUGGGAGCUAUCGGGAAAAUUCCAACGGUUUUGUCUUAGUUUCGUCGUUUUGAAUCCAACGAGACCAUCCGCAAGGUCGUAGCUCUUCUAAUAGCUGAGAUAUGGCAUUUUUGAUGCCCAUUUUUGGCCUCAAAAACGGACGUCGAAAACGACUUUUUCAGGAUUUUCAAAGUGCUCUCAUUCCCUUAGUUCUGCUCGGAUCCCGUUAUAACCCGGUGUUUUCGUAAUCUAGGUGACCCAAAUAAGACGCUGGUACACUUAGUUUGAUUUCGAAAAAAAUCAAUUUUUGGUGAAAAAAUUCGAUACGGGGGGGUAUACCCGAAAAAUGAAAAAACCCAAACUUUGAAGGUCGAUAUCUCGACUUCUAUGGGAGCUAUCGGGAAAAUUCCAACGGUUUUGUCUUAGUUUCGUCGUUUUGAAUCCAACGAGACCAUCCGCAAGGUCGUAGCUCUUCUAAUAGCUGAGAUAUGGCAUUUUUGAUGCCCAUUUUUGGCCUCAAAAACGGACGUCGAAAACGACUUUUUCAGGAUUUUCAAAGUGCUCUCAUUCCCUUAGUUCUGCUCGGAUCCCGUUAUAACCCGGUGUUUUCGUAAUCUAGGUGACCCAAAUAAGACGCUGGUACACUUAGUUUGAUUUCGAAAAAAAUCAAUUUUUGGUGAAAAAAUUCGAUACGGGGGGGUAUACCCGAAAAAUGAAAAAACCCAAACUUUGAAGGUCGAUAUCUCGACUUCUAUGGGAGCUAUCGGGAAAAUUCCAACGGUUUUGUCUUAGUUUCGUCGUUUUGAAUCCAACGAGACCAUCCGCAAGGUCGUAGCUCUUCUAAUAGCUGAGAUAUGGCAUUUUUGAUGCCCAUUUUUGGCCUCAAAAACGGACGUCGAAAACGACUUUUUCAGGAUUUUCAAAGUGCUCUCAUUCCCUUAGUUCUGCUCGGAUCCCGUUAUAACCCGGUGUUUUCGUAAUCUAGGUGACCCAAAUAAGACGCUGGUACACUUAGUUUGAUUUCGACAAAAAUCAAUUUUUGAUGAAAAAAUUCGAUACGGGGGGGUAUACCCGAAAAAUGAAAAAUUCCAAACUUUGAAGGUCCAUAUCUCGGCUUCUAUGGGAGCUAUCGGGAAAAUUCCAACGGUUUUGUCUUAGUUUCGUCGUUUUGAAUCCAACGAGACCAUCCGCAAGGUCGUAGCUCUUCUAAUAGCUGAGAUAUGGCAUUUUUGAUGCCCAUUUUUGGCCUCAAAAAUGGACGUCGAAAACGACUUUUUCAGGAUUUUCAAAGUGCUCUCAUUCCCUUAGUUCUGCUCGGAUCCCGUUAUAACCCGGUGUUUUCGUAAUCUAGGUGACCCAAAUAAGACGCUGGUACACUUAGUUUGAUUUCGAAAAAAAUCAAUUUUUGGUGAAAAAAUUCGAUACGGGGGGGUAUACCCGAAAAAUGAAAAAUUCCAAACUUUGAAGGUCCAUAUCUCGGCUUCUAUGGGAGCUAUCGGGAAAAUUCCAACGGUUUUGUCUUAGUUUCGUCGUUUUGAAUCCAACGAGACCAUCCGCAAGGUCGUAGCUCUUCUAAUAGCUGAGAUAUGGCAUUUUUGAUGCCCAUUUUUGGCCUCAAAAACGGACGUCGAAAACGACUUUUUCAGGAUUUUCAAAGUGCUCUCAUUCCCUUAGUUCUGCUCGGAUCCCGUUAUAACCCGGUGUUUUCGUAAUCUAGGUGACCCAAAUAAGACGCUGGUACACUUAGUUUGAUUUCGAAAAAAAUCAAUUUUUGGUGAAAAAAUUCGAUACGGGGGGGUAUACCCGAAAAAUGAAAAAACCCAAACUUUGAAGGUCGAUAUCUCGACUUCUAUGGGAGCUAUCGGGAAAAUUCCAACGGUUUUGUCUUAGUUUCGUCGUUUUGAAUCCAACGAGACCAUCCGCAAGGUCGUAGCUC
rnacentral:lncRNA from 1 species